AAUCUACAGAGACCCUGGACCCGCUGUCUUGUCCCCUGCUCCCCUCCGGGGUUGUAGCGGGUGUUGGCGUCAGCGGGGUCCGGUCGCCGCCACUGUUCGUCCAAGCCGUUGGUGGGGCGAAUUCUGCUGCUGCGGAGUCGUCGGACGGGGUCCCCCCGGUCCUCUCCUUGGUCGAUGUGCAUGCAACCCGUGAUGUCCGGAGUCGCCCUUCUUCUGGAGUUACGGCCGCUGGUUCCGAGCCGGUGAGGUCGGCUAAGGAUUUUUUAGACAAUGGGGCCUUGACGCCUGUGGCCACAGAAAAACCACCAGGAGAGGAGGAAGGAAAAGAAACAGGUCCAGGAAGAAAAAGAAGCCAAAAGAGGACUCCACAGCCACAACCUCAACCUCGCUUUCAGAGAAACAGGAGACGGUGGUAGACUAUGGAACUAUAUCUGGAUGGAGGAGGAGUAACAUCUCAACAAUUUGAAUUUCAUCAAGAAAUUAAUGUAAUUUGAUAUUAUUAUUAUGAUUAUUUGUGUAUAGAAUGGAGAACUGCCAUCUUGUUUGAUUAUAAGAUAAAUAAAAUAUAUUUUAAAAAAAAAAUGUAUGAUGCAGUUGAUGGAUUAUCAUGUGUGGACGGGAUAUACAUUCCUCAGGGGGAUACAUCUUAUGUAUUUUAUUUGAUUUUUCUAUUAUACUAUUUUGCUUUAUUUUUCUUUUUUGAGUUAUCUUUUGAUAUUUUUUUUUAUUUUUAAAUAAUAAGGAGCAAAAAUAGGGGGACCCACCCAGUCUGAUAAGUCACUGCUGAAA